rnacentral:rRNA from 1 species
UACGUAGGUGGCAAGCGUUGUCCGGAUUUACUGGGCGUAAAGGGUGCGUAGGCGGAUUUUUAAGUGGGAUGUGAAAUACCCGGGCUCAACUUGGGUGCUGCAUUCCAAACUGGAAAUCUAGAGUGCAGGAGAGGAGAAUGGAAUUCCUAGUGUAGCGGUGAAAUGCGUAGAGAUUAGGAAGAACACCAGUGGCGAAGGCGAUUCUCUGGACUGUAACUGACGCUGAGGCACGAAAGCGUGGGUAGCAAACAGG